rnacentral:rRNA from 1 species
CCUACGGGUGGCAGCAGUUGGGGAUAUUGCACAAUGGGGGAAACCCUGAUGCAGCGACGCCGCGUGUGGGAAGACGGUCCUCUGGAUUGUACACCACUGUCCCCCGGGACGAAGAUGACGGUACCUGGGGAGGCAUCUCCGGCUAACUACGUUACAGCAGCCGCGGUAAUACGGAUGGGGCGAGCGUUGUCCGGAAUGACUGGGUGAAAAGGGAGCGUAGGCGGGGAUGCAAGUUGGGUGUCAAAACUACCGGCUCAACUGGUAGUCGCACUCAAAACUGCAGCUCUUGAGUGAAGUAUAGGCAGGCGGAAUGCCUAGUGUAGCGGUGAAAUGCGUAGAUAUUAGGAGGAACACCAGUGGCGAAGGCGGCCUGCUGGGCUUUUACUGACGCUGAGGCUCGAAAGUGUGGGGAGCAAACAGGAUUAGAUACCCCAGUAGUC